AGAGUUUGAUCCUGGCUCAGGAUGAACGCUGACAGAAUGCUUAACACAUGCAAGUCGAUGGGGAAGUGGUGCUUGCACCAUGGUAACCAUGGCGGACGGGUGAGUAACGCGUAAGGGACUUGCCCGCGGGACCGGGAUAACAGCAGGAAACUGCUGACAAGACCGGAUAAGGUCAUGGAGCCGCAUGGUUACAUGAUGAAAGGAGACGCCUGCGGAGAGCCUUGCGUCCUAUUAGCUAGUUGGGGGGGUAACGGCCCACCAAGGCGAAGAUAGGUAGCCGGCCUGAGAGGGUGGACGGCCACAAGGGGACUGAGAUACGGCCCUUACUCCUACGGGAGGCAGCAGUGGGGAAUAUUGGACAAUGGGGGCAACCCUGAUCCAGCAAUUCUGUGUGCACGAAGACGGUUUUCGGAUUGUAAAGUGCUUUCAGCAGGGAAGAAGUAAGUGACGGUACCUGCAGAAGAAGCGACGGCUAAAUACGUGCCAGCAGCCGCGGUAAUACGUAUGUCGCGAGCGUUAUCCGGAAUUAUUGGGCAUAAAGGGCAUCUAGGCGGCCUGACAAGUCAGGGGUGAAAACCUGCGGCUCAACCGCAGGCCUGCCUUUGAAACUGACAGGCUGGAGUACCGGAGAGGUGGACGGAACUGCACGAGUAGAGGUGAAAUUCGUAGAUAUGUGCAGGAAUGCCGAUGAUGAAGAUAGUUCACUGGACGGUAACUGACGCUGAAGUGCGAAAGCCGGGGGAGCGAACAGGAUUAGAUACCCUGGUAGUCCCGGCCGUAAACGAUGAUUACUGGGUGUGGGCAGGAAGACUGUCUGUGCCGAAGCGAAUGCGAUAAGUAAUCCGCCUGGGGAGUACGGCCGCAAGGCUGAAACUCAAAGGAAUUGACGGGGACCCGCACAAGCGGUGGAGCAUGU
rnacentral:rRNA from 1 species